AGUGCGGAAAUGUGCCCGUUCACACGGAUCCAAAGUAGAAGAAGUCAUCUGGGCAUCAUUGCGUCGUGUUUGGAUGCCAAAACAACCAGCGGAAAAGGAGCAGGUCGCUUAGCGCUGUUUGCGAAGAGCACAACACACGUAGGGAAUCGUGCCGGUGCGGUGUUUUCAGCCUGCGCCGAUUUCCAUCCGCAACGAAGAAUGCCAAGCUGUGCCACCGGUGGAUAGCUGCAGUGAAUAGGAAGAACUACCAACCCAGUGAAAAUGCACGAGUUUGCUCCGAGCACUUUCUGGGCAACAAGCCUACAGAGCAGAAUCCCGCGCCGGUGCUUCGCCUUGGCUAUAACAAAAAGGCAAGCCUUUUCGUGUUUUCAUUCAGGCAGAGCUCCCGACGGUUAAGCGGAACAGUUGAGUUUGCGGUUAGCGAUACUUGCAGCUGGUGCACGGAAUGACCAUUAAGCGUGAACGACAAGUUGUAGGCCUUGCUGGUGAUGAAGGGCAGGCGUCUGCUAACCAGGCAGUCAAACGACCUCGCCAGUUGGUUGCCAAACGCGGCCAACCCAGUAGAGACCAUGACAAACAAGACCAAACUGAAAGUGCAGA